rnacentral:rRNA from 1 species
GACGAACGCUGGCGGCGUGCCUAAUACAUGCAAGUCGAGCGCAGGAAACUGACGGAACUCUUCGGAGGGAAGGCAGUGGAAUGAGCGGCGGACGGGCGAGUAACACGUAAGGAACCUGCCUCAAGGAUUGGGAUAACUCCGAGAAAUCGGCGCUAAUACCGGAUAGUUCAACGGACCGCAUGGUCCGCUGAUGAAAGGCGCUUCGGCGUCACCUUGAGAUGGCCUUGCGGUGCAUUAGCUAGUUGGUGGGGUAACGGCCCACCAAGGCGACGAUGCAUAGCCGACCUGAGAGGGUGAUCGGCCACACUGGGACUGAGACACGGCCCGGACUCCUACGGGAGGCAGCAGUAGGGAAUCUUCCACAAUGGACGAAAGUCUGAUGGAGCAACGCCGCGUGAGUGAUGAAGGUUUUCGGAUCGUAAAACUCUGUUGUAAGGGAAGAACACGUACGAGAGGAAAUGCUCGUACCUUGACGGUACCUUACGAGAAAGCCACGGCUAACUACGUGCCAGCAGCCGCCGUAAUAC